GCCUCUAUAAUCUAGUGGUUCACGACAUCUCUCUUUCAAGGAGUCAGCGGGGAUUUGAAUUCCCCUAGCGGUU
rnacentral:tRNA from 1 species